GUUGAAGACAAUUCAACGAAAAGCUGCUGAGGAAAGAGGUCCUGCAGUUAGUACAUCUCCUAAAGUUGGUGGGCCAGGCCAUGGGCGUACUAGACCCUUUACUGCCGACAGAGUCCUGACUGACGAGGAAGUGGAAUGCACUAUCGCUUUGUUGAGACACACUGCUGAUGAGGAGACCAUCCGUGAAAAGAUGAAAGUCACUUUCGCAUACCGCCACGCCAUGGUCAAUGAUGAGAACAAAUCAGCAGAGGUCUUCUCAGUAUUUCCACGGUUCCUAGACACACCAGGACUGAUAGAACAAGAUUUUAGAGUGAUGUUUGGUGAGCAGACUGCCAACAAGUUCAUGGAGAGGUGGCCUACCACUUUCAAAGCAGGAGUCAUUAAGGAAAGCCAUGGACUGGUCCCCUCCACAGACCUUCUUGAUUUAAUGCGCAACGCUGAGACAUCUACUGAAGUUGAAAAAGGCUGGGACAGUGACAUGUCUGCCAUCAUACUGCUGCUACAUCUGCUACCACCAUCUGCACAGGGACGAAAGAGGCCAGGGAAGAUAUCUGCAUCUAAUGCAGUUUAUCACCUCAUCAAAUUCCAAAAGACGGGAACAAGUGUGCAGCAGCAUCUUGACAACAUCCCUCAAAGCAGUCAGCCCUACCUCCUUGCUCACGGACCCA